CCACUUCCAAGCACCUAAUUAAUCCACAGCCUACUUGACAAUAGAGAUGUAACGAAGAAUAAGCAUGCCAGCAUAAAUUUUCUUUUCCCUCCAUAGGAAAACAUCAGCAGCUGCCAAAAAUUAGUAAGAUAAUUCAAGUGGAAAGAUGUACAAGUAUCCAUGGAAAGGAGAGUGAACUCAUAACUCUGAUUUUAAAUUAGAUAGGU
rnacentral:lncRNA from 1 species